UACGAAGGGGGCUAGCGUUGUUCGGAUUUACUGGGCGUAAAGCGCACGUAGGCGGAUUGUUAAGUGAGGGGUGAAAUCCCGGAGCUCAACUCCGGAACUGCCUUUCAUACUGGCAAUCUAGAGUCCGGAAGAGGUGAGUGGAACUCCUAGUGUAGAGGUGGAAUUCGUAGAUAUUAGGAAGAACACCAGUGGCGAAGGCGGCUCACUGGUCCGGUACUGACGCUGAGGUGCGAAAGCGUGGGGAGCAAACAGG
rnacentral:rRNA from 1 species